AUACGUAAGUGGCAAGCGUUGUCCGGAAUUAUUGGGCGUAAAGCGCAUGUAGGCGGUGCCUUAAGUCUGUCGUGAAACUGCGGGGCCUAACCCCGUAUGGCGAUGGAAACUGGGGUACUUGAGUGCAGGAGAGGAAAGGGGAACUCCCAGUGUAGCGGUGAAAUGCGUAGAUAUUGGGAAGAACACCGGUGGCGAAGGCGCCUUUCUGGACUGUGUCUGACGCUGAGAUGCGAAAGCCAGGGUAGCGAACGGGAUUAGAUACCCCGGUAGUCCUGGCCGUAAACGAUGGGUACUAGGUGUGGGAGGUAUCGACCCCUUCCGUGCCGGAGUUAACGCAAUAAGUACCCCGCCUGGGGAGUACGGCCGCAAGGCUUAAACUCAAAUGAAUUGACGGGG
rnacentral:rRNA from 1 species